GACAGAGGUGCCGAGCGUUAGGCGGAAUCACUGGGCUUAAAGCGUGUGUAGGCGGAUCUGUAAGUACCUUGUGAAAUCCCACGGCUCAACCGUGGAACUGCUUGGUAUACUGCGGGUCUUGAGCCACCUAGGGGCAAGUGGAACAAACGGUGGAGCGGUGAAAUGCGUAGAUAUCGUUUGGAACGCCAAUGGUGAAAAACAACUUGCUGGGGGUGUGCUGACGCUGAGACACGAAAGCCAGGGGAGCAAACGGG
rnacentral:rRNA from 1 species